CGCUAAUGGACCAAGUAGGCCUUGAGGAUUCUCCUUAAAGGGUACUGGGUUCUACAAGAGUUUACAAGAACAGUACCUUUUACAAGACUGUGGUGGUGGUGGUGUGUGUGUGUGUGUGUGUGUGUGUGUGUGUGUGUGUGUGUGUGUGUGUGUGUGUGUGUGUGUGUGUGUGUGUGUGUGUGUGUGUGUGUGUGUGUGUGUGUGUGUGUGUGUGUGCGUGCGUGCGCAUGUGUUGUUUCAGUUCUCUUAUACAGAGGUUCAUGUGUAAGUGUGUUUUGUCAGAUCAUAGAUGGAGAGAGUCACGAUUUUCACUUUCACACACACUCGUCUUUUGUUUCAUCUUUGUGCUCACUCUCUUCUUUGAUGGACAGAAUACAAACACUCCUUCCUUGAUGGACAGAAUACAAACACUCCUUUGAUGGACAGAAUACAAACACUCCUUCCUUGAUGGACAGAAUACAAACACUCCUUUGAUGGACAGAAUACAAACACUCCUUUGAUGGACAGAAUACAAACACUCCUUCCUUGAUGGACGGAAUACAAACACUGCCCCCUGUGGUCUUAGGUGGCCAGGGCGGGUGUGUGGGUGUGUGUGUGUGGGUGGGCAGUCAACUCUGGGAAGGCCGACGAGCAGGAGAAAUGCAUCUGGUGACCAUGACAACUGCUCCUCGUCUGUCUGUUUGUUUGUUUAUAUUUUGUGUGUGUGUGUGUGUGUGUGUGUGUGUGUGUGUGUGUGUGUGUGUGUGGGGGGUGUCAUCAUCAUCAUCAUCAUCAUCAUCAUCAUCAUCAUGGGAAAAGGAAAUUCUCUGAUCACCCUGAGGCUAGGAAUGAUGCAGUGGUGAUGUCAUUUCCUGCCUGUGGAAACAGCUCCCAGAACCUUUCAAAGUGUCCGUCUCUCUUCCCAGGCCCGGCUCUCUCGGCAUGUGUGUUUCUAUUUCUGCUGCAGGGCAGAUGGAAAAGAGAAAGAGAAAUAUUUCAUCUGUGAACGUGUCUGAGGUCGUUGUGUUUUUAUCCAAGUUGAUUAAAAAGCUGAAUGACUGACAA